GCCUUCUCUACACUCUUCCCAAGGUAUAUAUUCCUCUCCGGUUGUUCCCACUGUCCUGUAUCUCUACUUGUGCUGCGUGUCCUGGAAGUUAUUAGAUCUGUGGCGUUAUUCUCCAGUCCCCAAAUGUCUGAGGCUCAGCAGGUUGCAGAUGUGUCAUUGCUCCAAUCACUGAAUUUCUUGCUCAGUGUGUCACCUAGCUCUGCAGAUGCAUGAAACUGGAACAACUGCUGUGGAUUGAAUCCUAACUUUCCAAGUCAGAAGUUAUUCUAAAGUUUCUGAUUUUACACCAUGAGGAUCAAUGAACAGUCCCCAUCAAGGAGAAGACACUUUUUGAAGCAAUCAGAAUUGUGAAUGCCUGGUCUAAGUGGAGCCGGCGGUGGUGCAGGGGUUAAAAUGCGACCCAUAUCCAGUCCUCGAUGCAGCCGGUACAGGUUCGACGCCCAGGCAACCUUUGGUCUGAGUCAUAAUAUUUUAACGUCUUCUCUUCCGUCGGCCUCGGCUGUGUUGAUGUCUUACUCCUCGGAGUCAGGAAAUCUUCAUGGGAUACCAGUGAUGUGCUUCCCUGGCUGCAUUCCUGCACUCAAACCAUGAGUGGUGUCAGAGGGGGAAAUGAGAGAAACUGGACCCACAGAGCUUCCUCAAACGUGAGUUUCCUGAGCUCAGGAAAUGGAACGGCCCCCCGGUGUUUAUAGGCAAACCCCGAGUGACCAGAGCUCUUGGCUUCCCCAUGGCCUCUAUGCCCCCUCAGAACACUUGGAAGGACAUCAAAGUGUUAAAGCAUUAAGAGAAAACACAUUAUGACUUACAAACUGAACACAAGCCGACACUGAUUAUUUCUUUCAUGUUCUUGUUUUCUUCUCCUUCUCCUUCUUUUUUUGUGCAAAUCCUUGAAGACUCUGCAGGCAGUUUCUAUCUGCACCUCCAUCUAUCUUGGUCAAGUUGUGGAUGUAAUUUGUCAUGAAUCGUUGAUGGUGGCAGCAGAUAACCGACGAAACACCUCAGCCUCUGCCAAGCCAUCACUCACAUUAAUUAGAGUUGCACAGCGGAGUGUGGAUGUUUAAAUCCCAGAAAAUCUGACAGGAAUGUGGUGCAAAUAAGUACAGUAUUUAAAAGCACACUUUCCUCUUCAAUAUGGGUGUAUUUCAGCCACAACUGUGCAUUUGGUUCAGCAGUUAUCCCAACCUGGGCUCUGGGAGACAGUUACCUGGAUACCAGGAAGGUUCGCUGAGUGCAUAUCUAUAGAAAACCAUAGAACCUUCACCAAAACUUCAGGCCCAAAUCUUUCCAGGUGUGGAACUAAAAUUAAAUUGGUGAACAAGGAUGGCAGGCAUGGCUAAGGUUGCAUUAUUCCCCAAAGAAAAUGCGAAAAUCUUCAAAAAGCCAACAUGUAGUCAGUUGUCGAAGAUCAGUAGUAGCAGCUCAGUGUUAUGAUUUGGGGUUGUUUGAUUUUUGGUUUUUUCUUUAUAUGUUCUUCACAACUCAAGUUUUGAAUCAUGUUUCUGUUUAUUAUUUUCCUGUUUAUGUUUUUGUUUCAUGUUUUU